rnacentral:rRNA from 1 species
CCUACGGGAGGCAGCAGUGGGGAAUAUUGGUCAAUGGGCGAAAGCCUGAUCCAGCCAUGCCGCGUGUGUGAAGAAGGCCUUCGGGUUGUAAAGCACUUUCAGUGGGGAAGAAAGCCUUGGGGCUAAUACCCUCGAGGAAGGACAUCACCCACAGAAGAAGCACCGGCUAACUCCGUGCCAGCAGCCGCGGUAAUACGGAGGGUGCGAGCGUUAAUCGGAAUUACUGGGCGUAAAGCGCGCGUAGGCGGUCUGAUAAGCCGGUUGUGAAAGCCCCGGGCUCAACCUGGGAACGGCAUCCGGAACUGUCAGGCUAGAGUGCAGGAGAGGAAGGUAGAAUUCCCGGUGUAGCGGUGAAAUGCGUAGAGAUCGGGAGGAAUACCAGUGGCGAAGGCGGUCUUCUGGACUGACACUGACGCUGAGGUGCGAAAGCGUGGGUAGCAAACAGGAUUAGAUACCCGAGUAGUC